UAAGCAAUAGACGCAGAGAGGGCAGG
rnacentral:piRNA from 1 species